AGAAAAGGAAAUUUCUCUUAAUCUCAUUCGUGAACCCCUUCCUAGCUCCAUUUUCUCUUUCCCUCACUCUAAACCCACGAACGUCGGCCGCCACUCAAUUCGUCGCAACUCAUCUUUGCUCGCCGUCGUGUCAAAGAUUCUUCUCAACCAAAUACCCGGUUGUCGUUGUUUCACGCUGACCCACGAUUAGCUUCACACGCCGCCAGCGCCUCACGUCGCGUACUUCCAGUCAUGUCAAGCAAAUGCCUCAGAUCGGCAUUGUUCAGUGCUGCCUCACGACAGUGGAUGGUCGUUUCACCUCGUUCAAAUCGCUAUCGUUCGCCCUAUUUUGCAGUCGGUUCACGUGUUCUACAGAUUAUCUAUCGUGCUUUUGGGUUCCGCUGGAUUUUGGGUUGGAAUGAAAGGUUAUUUUGAUGUAGUUCGGUGGAGAUUUGGGACUUAAAUCUUGGAAGUGGCUGUUGAUCAAGUUUGCUUUGGGUAAAUUAUUUGAGGUUAAUUCCAUAAAUUGGUGGAUGGAAUUUGAGCUUUAAAGAAUAAAUUAAAUUUGGGUUUUUUUA